AGUGAACGCUGGCGGUAUGCCUAACACAUGCAAGUCGAACGGCAGCACAGUAAGAGCUUGCUCUUACGGGUGGCGAGUGGCGGACGGGUGAGGAAUACAUCGGAAUCUACUUUUUCGUGGGGGAUAACGUAGGGAAACUUACGCUAAUACCGCAUACGACCUACGGGUGAAAUCAGGGGAUCUUCGGACCUUGCGCGAUUGAAUGAGCCGAUGUCGGAUUAGCUAGUUGGCGGGGUAAAGGCCCACCAAGGCGACGAUCCGUAGCUGGUCUGAGAGGAUGAUCAGCCACACUGGAACUGAGACACGGUCCAGACUCCUACGGGAGGCAGCAGUGGGGAAUAUUGGACAAUGGGCGAAAGCCUGAUCCAGCAAUACCGCGUGGGUGAAGAAGGCCUUCGGGUUGUAAAGCCCUUUUGUUGGGAAAGAAAAGCAGCAGGUUAAUCCCCCGCUGUUCUGACGGUACCCAAAGAAUAAGCACCGGCUAACUUCGUG
rnacentral:rRNA from 1 species